rnacentral:rRNA from 1 species
GAUGAACGCUGGCGGCGUGCCUAAUACAUGCAAGUCGAGCGAACAGAUAAGGAGCUUGCUCCUUUGACGUUAGCGGCGGACGGGUGAGUAACACGUGGGUAACCUACCUAUAAGACUGGGAUAACUUCGGGAAACCGGAGCUAAUACCGGAUAACAUUUUGAACCGCAUGGUUCUAUAGUGAAAGAUGGUUUUGCUAUCACUUAUAGAUGGACCCGCGCCGCAUUAGCUAGUUGGUAAGGUAACGGCUUACCAAGGCAACGAUACGUAGCCGACCUGAGAGGGUGAUCGGCCACACUGGAACUGAGACACGGUCCAGACUCCUACGGGAGGCAGCAGUAGGGAAUCUUCCGCAAUGGGCGAAAGCCUGACGGAGCAACGCCGCGUGAGUGAUGAAGGGUUUCGGAUCGUAAAACUCUGUUAUUAGGGAAGAACAAAUGUGUAAGUAACUGUGCACGUCUUGACGGUACCUAAUCAGAAAGCCACGGCUAACUACGUG